ensembl:lncRNA
CAGUUUUCCUGCCCGUUUGCUUGUUUCAACCAGUUUUCUACCUUCGGCUGAUUCUACCAGCAGACACUGAAAGGACUCUGAUAGUUUGAGUGAAAGAAGCAGUUUCUCCUUAAGGUCAGAGAUUGCAGCAUCUGAGGGCCUCUUCAAAAGAAGAUGUAGUUGAUGAAGGCGUUCUGGAGCAGGACCAGAAAGACCACGACCAAGCAGCCUUGAGAUCUUAGGCAGUGUCUCCCUCAGGUCCCUCUCUAUCUCCCUACACAUCCACCAACCACUGGAACACAUCUCCAAAGUUCUGCCGGGCCAGCUCAGCUUCCCCUCAGAAGAAGUGCUGCCACCUGCCAGAUGAAGGAGCCUUUUGAGAGGCAGCUGGCAUCGUGAUUGGACUGUACUUUGGUUUGUUCCAAUCCAGCUUCAGCUCCAGAGACGGCAGGCGGGACGAGUCAGCGGAGGCCGGGUGGACGAAGGCAUGCAGCUGAGUACAAUCCAGAAAACAACAGAGGAGGAGUGCAGCAGCUCAGGGCCAGAACAAACAGAGUAGCAUCGUAUGUCU